AGUUUUGCAGGUUUGCAUCCAGUUGUUCUUCUGGCUCACUGUGCAAAUCCAUGCAAAACUGA
rnacentral:pre_miRNA from 1 species